UGGGGAAUAUUGCACAAUGGGCGCAAGCCUGAUGCAGCCAUGCCGCGUGUGUGAAGAAGGCCUUCGGGUUGUAAAGCACUUUCAGCGAGGAGGAAGGUGGUGAGCUUAAUACGCUCAUCAAUUGACGUUACUCGCAGAAGAAGCACCGGCUAACUCCGUGCCAGCAGCCGCGGUAAUACGGAGGGUGCAAGCGUUAAUCGGAAUUACUGGGCGUAAAGCGCACGCAGGCGGUUUGUUAAGUCAGAUGUGAAAUCCCCGGGCUCAACCUGGGAACUGCAUUUGAAACUGGCAAGCUAGAGUCUCGUAGAGGGGGGUAGAAUUCCAGGUGUAGCGGUGAAAUGCGUAGAGAUCUGGAGGAAUACCGGUGGCGAAGGCGGCCCCCUGGACGAUGACUGACGCUCAGGUGCGAAA
rnacentral:rRNA from 1 species